rnacentral:rRNA from 1 species
GUGGGGGAUAUUGCACAAUGGAGGAAACUCUGAUGCAGCGACGCCGCGUGAGUGAAGAAGUAUUUCGGUAUGUAAAGCUCUAUCAGCAGGGAAGAUAAUGACAGUACCUGACUAAGAAGCCCCGGCUAACUACGUGCCAGCAGCCGCGGUAAUACGUAGGGGGCAAGCGUUAUCCGGAUUUACUGGGUGUAAAGGGAGCGUAGACGGAAUGGCAAGUCUGAAGUGAAAUCCUGCGGCUUAACUGCAGAAUUGCUUUGGAAACUGUCAAUCUGGAGUGUUGGAGAGGUAAGCGGAAUUCCUGGUGUAGCGGUGAAAUGCGUAGAUAUCAGGAAGAACACCGGAGGCGAAGGCGGCUUACUGGACAAUAACUGACGUUGAGGCUCGAAAGCGUGGGUAGCAAACAGGAUUAGAUACCCCAGUAGUCC